CAAACGGCCCUUUUCAGGGCCAACAUAAAAUACACUGACCUACCAU
rfam:Cyphomyrmex costatus contig12035, whole genome shotgun sequence.